GCGAUGAUGCAAAGGAGGAGGGUGCUGCCGCCGGCGGUGCUGAUGGUGGCGAUCGGCGCCCGGGUGUGAUGCGAGCGUCAUGGUGGGGAUGCUGGCUUCGCGGCGGUGAGACAGCGAGCGAGCGCGAGCGCGAGCCAGGGGCGGAGGACGCCGGAAUUCGGAUCUGGCUGCUGUGUGGGCUCGGAUCUCUCUCCCCUCCCCUCUCCCCCCCCCCCCCCCCCACUCCGUUCGGUUCUCGGUUGGCACACUGAAAAUCCCCCGACUCCGUCCUCUCCCGACCACUGGAAGUCUUCCCGUCUCUAAAUGGAAUUAGUGGAGAUCGGAGCCUCUGGUGUAAGGAACAGACAUGAUCUAUGGACGCAGUUUGUUUCACAUUGUAGCAAGUUUAAUCAUCUUCCAUUUGUCUGGGGCGACCAAGAAAGGAACAGAGAAGCAAACCACCUCAGAAACUCAGAAGUCAGUGCAGUGUGGGACUUGGACAAAACAUGCAGAGGGAGGUAUUUUUACCUCUCCCAACUACCCCAGCAAGUACCCCCCUGACCGAGAGUGCAUCUACAUCAUAGAAGCUGCCCCAAGACAGUGCAUUGAACUUUACUUUGAUGAAAAGUACUCUAUUGAGCCGUCUUGGGAGUGCAAAUUUGAUCAUAUUGAAGUUCGAGAUGGACCUUUCGGAUUUUCUCCAAUAAUUGGACGUUUUUGUGGACAACAAAACCCACCUGUAAUAAAAUCCAGUGGAAGAUUUCUAUGGAUUAAAUUUUUCGCUGAUGGAGAGCUGGAAUCUAUGGGGUUUUCAGCUCGAUACAAUUUCACACCUGAUCCUGACUUUAAGGACCUUGGCGUUUUGAAACCAUUACCAGCAUGUGAGUUUGAGAUGGGCGGCCCAGAAGGAAUUGUGGAGUCUGUACAGAUUAUGAAGGAAGGCAAAGCUUCUGCCAGCGAGGCCGUGGAUUGCAAGUGGUACAUCCGGGCACCUCCACGAUCCAAGAUCUACCUACGUUUCUUGGACUACGAGAUGCAGAAUUCCAAUGAAUGCAAAAGGAACUUUGUGGCCGUGUAUGAUGGGAGCAGUUCCGUGGGGGACCUGAAGGCUAAGUUCUGCAGCACCGUGGCCAAUGACGUCAUGCUCCGCACAGGUCUUGGGGUCAUCCGCAUGUGGGCCGAUGAGGGCAGUCGAAACAGCAGAUUUCAGAUGCUGUUCACAUCCUUCCAAGAACCUCCCUGUGAAGGCAAUACAUUCUUCUGCCAUAGCAACAUGUGUAUUAACAAUACACUGGUCUGCAAUGGACUCCAGAACUGUGUGUAUCCUUGGGAUGAAAAUCAUUGUAAAGAGAAGAGGAAAGCCAGCCUGCUGGACCAGCUCACCAACACCAGUGGGACUGUCAUUGGAGUGACUUCCUGCAUUGUGAUCAUCCUUAUUAUCAUUUCUGUCAUUGUGCAGAUCAAACAGCCUCGUAAAAAAUAUGUCCAAAGGAAAUCGGACUUUGACCAGACAGUUUUCCAGGAGGUGUUUGAACCUCCCCAUUAUGAGUUAUGCACUCUCAGAGGGACAGGAGCUACAGCUGACUUUACAGAUGUGGCAGAGGACUUUGAAAACUACCACAAACUGCGGAGAUCCUCUUCCAAGUGCGUUCACGACCACCACUGUGGGUCCCACGUGUCCAGUACGAAGGGCAGCCGCAGUAACCUCAGCACAAGAGAUGCUUCUGUCUUGACGGAGAUGCCCCCACAGCCCAUCAAACCCCUCAUCCCGCCCAUGAACAGAAGAAAUAUCCUCGUCAUGAAACACAGCUACUCGCAGGAUGCCGCAGAUGCCUGUGACAUCGACGAGAUUGAGGAGGUGCCCACGACGAGUCACAGGCUGUCCCGACACGACAAAGCCGUGCAGCGGUUCUGCCUCAUUGGGUCUCUAAGCAAACAUGAAUCUGAAUACAACACAACUAGGGUCUAAAAAGAAAAUUCAAGAUGCCAUUACACUUUUGGUGCAAUACUUUGUAAAUAGACAGCUCAAUCUUCUUGUCAAGUUCUGAAAGGACAUAUCUAAGGACUAUCCAAGAAAACAUUUUGGAGAUUGUGCUUACUAAAAAAAAAAAAAAAAAAAAAAAUGCAAUCCCAGCAAAAUCCCUUUAGAACCGGACUCGAUCCUGUUGUUUUCCAUGGAGCACUCUCAAUUUACCUGAUGGUCCCGGGCAGGUUAGAACACGGCAGAAGCUGGAGCUCAGUCACAGCAAAGGCAAGCGAAACCACACAUCUGUUAGGAGAGUCUGGUUUUCAACAACAGACACUUAGUUUUCUCAUGUUUUAGAGUAAGCAUUCAUCAUGAAAAUGGCAAGUUGCUACGAGUAAGAUAAGGUUAACUAUAAAGAAGAUUCUUGGACACACAUUGUUUUGUUUAACUGUAUCCUGACUGUCAUUCUGAAGGAAGAUGUUAUUACAUUCUUCGUUUUACAGGAAUGAUGUUGGGUUGUCUGUUCUUAAAGAAGCACCACCAAUCUUCUCUACUAGGACUGGAAACUAGGUCUCCAAGUCUCGCUUCCUUCUCUGGCUCUGGGUUAGAGUUUGUCAGUGACAGACACUCACAAAGGAUUUAAGGGGAAGACGGAGUGGAAGCCAUUCUUCUCAGGAGGUCUUGGGGGGCAGACGCAGCGGCUUCUUGGCCACACCCACGAACUCCCAGUUCUCCAUCGUGGUGACCAGACAUGGAAGCUUCUACGUGUCUGUGAGCUCUGGCUUCUGUCCAGUCCCCGUGCUGCAGUCAACGGUCCUCAGGGACUGCUUCUCCAGUCCUUCAGCUACUGCCUUCCAGACUUUUACUAGCCAUCUCCACUCACAUCUGUGGGAUCCCCAACUCCCAUCUUAAAUUCCUCAUUCUUAAAAUGCUCUAGAAAUUCUAUUUCCCUGACUGAACCCAGACUAACACAGGUGGAAGGUUGGUACUGGGGCCUAAUCCCAAGUGCGUGAUCAUCAGUAAAGGUGCAGUGUUUCUCUUCUGAAAGAAACAAAGAAUGGCCGCUCAGUGGAACACACUGGAAAUUUUAGAAAUAAUGUAUACUGCAGCAAGUUCACUUAAUUCUACCCAGUCGACUGUGAAGGGGAGGGAAUGAUAGAAAGCAUCAGAGAAAUAAUUAACAUGUGCAAAGAAGCCUGUGGAAAUGAUAAGGUGAAUGUUUACCUAAUUCUUUUACCAGUCAAGUAUAGUGCCCUUGGGAGGAGAGGAACGACAUGUAUUGGCUUUGAUAUAAGUGGGUUGCACACACAUGUGCAAAAGGAUUUUGACAUCAUAAGAGCAAAAAUAGGAACCGUGUUCUCAAUAUCGAGAAAUGAGACGAAGGAUAUAAUGUGUUGAUAAGGAUAUUGGUAGAUUAUAUAUUGACUAUAUUUUUAAAAGCCUAUACUCUAGAAAAUGUACUUCACUUUUUACUGUUAACAUGGCCACCAUUUGUUGUGUCUGUACAAGGUUUGAGCCCACUGAGUUUAUAAGAAAUUACAUAUUUUUUUUGUGUGAUAGGUAAUGUAGUACAAGCAUAUGAAAAUAACAUGUUCAGGUAAGCAUAUGAUUUAACAGCCUGGAUUGUUAAGUCGUGGAUCAUAAAGAUAAGGUCUUAGUGCACACCAAGGAGCAGCAUAUUAAAACUAUAUACGAUGGAAAAAAACCAGUUUCUUGCGUGCAGGGUGUACGAAACUCAAACAUAAAAUGAUGGUACUGUCACUGAUGCUGUCAUAAAGAUUAAUGCAGAGGAAACCUUUUUGAAAACGAAAUAUGCUAUUAAAUGUUCAUUAAGAGAUUCGGCCCCAUCUAUCAGUAUCCACUAAAUAAAGAUUAACAGCCGUCUCUCUACUACAGAUGUUACUUAUUCUGUCUUGGUCUCAGACAAAAGAAUCUUUAUCCAUAACACUGCUGCAAAUUUCUCAUUGAAAGGAAUCAAGACAAUACACAAAUACAUUAUGUGACUCUUAACAAUCUGAUCGAAAUAGUUACAGACAAAAUUUUGUUUGACACAAGUGAAUACUAAUUUGUGAAUUCAAAAUAUGACUGAUUUAGUAUAAUAUCUUCAAAAGAGCAAGAAGAAAAACUAGGUCUGUAAUAUGGUAAAUGUGUAGUGAGCCUUUCCCACAGUGUCGCAAAGAACGUCUCUGGAGCCGAUUCCCAAUUAAGAAUGUCACUUGCGGGGACAGCAAAGGCGCCUGGUUUCAGCGUCUUUCACCUGAAAUGUUCAGUCUCUUGCAAUUAUCGUGAGUGGUGAUGAAUUGCACAAACGUCCAAGAGGAACCUUACCUGGUGGUGUUUGCCUUCACAUAUGUUCAACGUCAUGCCAACUUUUAAUGUAGAAACCUAACAAAUAAAAAGAAUUGUCUCAGAAAAUAAAAUUGUUAUUGUGUUUUUAUGAGACUUCUGUCAUGGCUACUGGAUUUUAUAGCUUCUACAAUAUCCACUUUCCCUUGUUGUGUGACCUUCAUUUUGGCUGAAACACCAUCCAUUACUGGUCUGCAGUCAAUUCUCAGUACCUGUACCCCUAUAUUCCUGUUGGGGGUGCUCAUCACCCAUGUUCCUCAACACAACCCGCCCCCCCCCCACUGAGGUAAACAUUACUCCAAGCAUUACUCAACAAGUAGUGUAGGAAACAGUUAUCCCUCUAGAUGGAAAAUUCCAUGGAGAGCAAGAGCUAUGUUUUGUUUAAUUACCUCCCCAUAUACAGUAUCCAAUAUAGCUCCAGGAAUAUAGUAGGCUAUCAAUGUACAUUUGGUGAACGAAUAUAUGUAAAUGAUGUGGAUAAAAUAUUUUUGAAUAAUAAUUGAUGUUUAGUUUCUUUUCUUUCCCUCCCUUCCUUCCUUCCCUCCUUCCUUCCCUCCCUCUUUCCCUCCUUCCUUCCUUCCCUCCUUCCUUCCCUCCUUCCUUCCUUCCUGUUUUCUUGCUUUCUUCUUCAUAUCAAGGGCCUUGUAGCUUCCAGCAUCAGGACAUUUUUCUUUUAAAAUAGUCAUCUUAGCAGGAGUGAGAUGUGACCCAUGAACUCAAUGGCUCAUACAAACAAACAUUUCUUUCUUGCACUCCUUACACGUCAGAGGCGGCGGGUUGGGGCCUUCAGCUCCCCUCCCCAUGUUCCUCAUUCUGAAGCCUGUCUGGAGGAGAUGCUUUUGUUGAGGAUAUGUGGUUCCUAUUGGGAAGAAAAAAAAACAAGAGAAUUGGAAGAAAUUCAAAUGACAUUUUUGAUGCUUCUGCUUGGUCUUGAUUCAUGCCACAUUUGCUCACCUUCCACUGGCCGAACCUGUAACGUGACCAGACCCAGAAUCAGUGGGGAGGGACAUAAAAUAUCUUACAAAGAAAGGGGAAGCAAAUCUUUGGAAACAACAAUACAAUCCACCUUACCUGUCUAUAAAAUUGCUCCUGUAAAGUAAGUAUGUUUCAGAAAGUAGCCCCCAUUUUUAAGUGUGACUUCCAAGGACCAGGAUUUGUUAUUCAAAAUGCUUAGUUAAAAUCGCAUAAAUUAGAAAGUCCUUUGGCAACAAACACUGAAUUCGAGGUGUACAAUUUAACUAUCUGUGACCUUUGUAAGUUUCAUGGUCACCAGCCAUCUCUGAAUCUUCGCGUCAGGGUAGGUAAAAAACUGAACUAAAAUAUCUAUCUUAUAAAGUUUUCAUGCACAUUAUAUAAUAACAUGUAAAAAAAAAAAAAGUCCAAGGGCAGCUCCAGAUUUAGAGUAGCACCUCACCCCUCUUCUCCUUUCUCUAAAAUGUCCUUAUGCUGGAAGAAACACUUAGUUUCACUGCUUUGCCCCGUACCUGUUGGCUUCCUGAAAUCUGCUUUCUCUUGGCAACUUUAACAAGAACACACCUAAGCUACGUGACAUCAACUGGCUUAGAUAUUGACAGCUGGGGAUGUGUUCUCCACCUCCAGGGCUCGGGGUUCAGCUGGUGUCUGUAUCCAACCUCAGGCAAUAUAUUAUCCCAACAUACAGUAUUUGGUAUAAAUAAAGGAAGGAGUUUUGUUUUUCCUUUUUAACUCUAGAGAUCUGCUAGGUCACUGUCAUUCCUGCCGUCUCUUGCUGUACCCUUCAGAAGCAAGGCAUUGAGAGACUUAUGUAAGAAUAUAGUUUCUGGCAGCAGGAAACUCAACUUUUCAAUUUUAUUCUUGAAGAAGAAUCUCUCUUCUCUCCCGCCCACAUGCUUUUAAAACAUCUCAGAAUAAAGUUACUGUUUGUGCUGUCUUCCAACUCGAAUAAUCUGACAGAUUGCUUCUGAAAGAAAUCUUAAGUUAAAUCAAAAUACGAAACUUUAAUUAACAAAUAUAAGCAAUGCUGUACAUAUGGAUUUUGCCUAAAAUCAUGACAAUUUCCUCUGUUUGUCAGGCCCUUGGUCAAAGUCAAGAGUGUUUGUUAGUUUGACUUUGGACUAGCAAGAACAAACAAUAAAUAUUUACGGAGCUAUGUAAAGUGUUACGAUGUACAUGUAUAAUUACAUAUGUAUAUUUUAUACAUAUAUAACAGUUUAGCAAUAAAGUUAUUUAAUGGUG